rnacentral:rRNA from 1 species
CCUACGGGGGGCUGCAGUGGGGAAUAUUGGACAAUGGGGGGAACCCUGAUCCAGCCAUGCCGCGUGUGUGAAGAAGGCCCUCGGGUUGUAAAGCACUUUCAGUGAGGAAGAACGCCUGGUGGUUAAUACCCAUCAGGAAAGACAUCACUCACAGAAGAAGCACCGGCUAACUCCGUGCUAGCAGCCGCGGUAAUACGGAGGGUGCGAGCGUUAAUCGGAAUUACUGGGCGUAAAGCGCGCGUAGGUGGCUUGAUAAGCCGGUUGUGAAAGCCCCGGGCUCAACCUGGGAACGGCAUCCGGAACUGUCAAGCUAGAGUGCAGGAGAGGAAGGUAGAAUUCCCGGUGUAGCGGUGAAAUGCGUAGAGAUCGGGAGGAAUACCAGUGGCGAAGGCGGCCUUCUGGACUGACACUGACACUGAGGUGCGAAAGCGUGGGUAGCAAACAGGAUUAGAUACCCUAGUAGUC